rnacentral:siRNA from 1 species
AGGUUUAAAGUGUUAGUA